rnacentral:rRNA from 2 species
GCGACCCCAGGUCAGGCGGGAUCACCCGCUGAGUUUAAGCA